rnacentral:rRNA from 1 species
UACGGAGGUGGCAGGCGUUACUCGGAUUGAUUGGGUGUAAAGGGCGUGUAGGCGGUGAAUUAAGUCGAAUGUGAAAUCCCUUGGCUUAACCAAGGAACUGCAUUCGAUACUGAUUUGCUUGAGUGAUGGAGAGGAAAGCGGAAUUCCCGGUGUAACAGUGAAAUGUGUAGAUAUCGGGAGGAACACCAGUGGCGAAGGCGGCUUUCUGGCCAUCUACUGACGCUGAAACGCGAGAGCUAGGGGAGCAAACAGG